rnacentral:rRNA from 1 species
UACGUAGGGGGCUAGCGUUGUCCGGAAUCAUUGGGCGUAAAGCGCGUGUAGGCGGUUCGGUAAGUCCGCUGUGAAAGUCGGGGGCUCAACCCUCGGAUGCCGGUGGAUACUGUCGGACUAGAGUACGGAAGAGGCGAGUGGAAUUCCUGGUGUAGCGGUGAAAUGCGCAGAUAUCAGGAGGAACACCUAUUGCGAAGGCAGCUCGCUGGGACGUAACUGACGCUGAGGUGCGAAAGCGUGGGGAGCAAACAGG